CAAUAGCCCCGAUAGUAGCGGCAUCUUUUUUUGUUUUUAUAGUCAUCGUUUGUUUUGAUGGUAAAAUGUUCUGAAAAACAAAAAAGAUAUAGCGGAUAGCGGGAUUAAGC
rnacentral:sRNA from 1 species